GUUUUCUUGCUUUGUGAUUUUUUUCUAGCAUCGUAACACUGUUUUGUAUACCAUGGUUUCUGGUUAGUUCUUUGUGUUGUAGUGCGUGGAUUUUUAACAAAUGUUUCGUUUGCAGAUGAUACGAGUAUUUCGCCAAUACUAUCAACAACUUUGUCAAUUUCGUGUUGAGUACAAUGAUCACUCGAGUGUAGAAUGUGAAGGUCGUUUAGUAUUGCCGAUAACUGUUCUUUUUUGUUAUGAACUGUAUUGACAAACUGAAUU
rnacentral:lncRNA from 1 species